UAUUAUUUUGGCAGAUUAGUGCGGUAGAUUUAGAAUCUUUUUAUGUAAAUUUUUACAAAUAAUAG
rnacentral:tRNA from 1 species